AAAUGAGAUGAAGAACGAGGAGAAAGAGCAAGAGGGUGAAUGCAAAAGCAGAAGGCACCCACUGCUCUGUCCUUGCCUGGCUUUUGAUGCUCUUUCUCUGGCUCUUGGACCUGCAAGUUUAAGCCCACUCUGAAGUACUAGAGAGAAAAAUUCUGCUUUGGGACUCACUGAUCUCAAGCCACUGCACAGAGCAGUCCCUGGAACAGCUUUCUGAUGGAAGGUCAAGAGUGAUCUCCUGUUGGCCAUUUAACAAGAGGUGGAGUCAGAUUGAGAUCUCCAAGGCCUUGAACAUUCAGCCUUCUCCUUUCUCCAGCCUAUUUGCUUUUCAUUUUCACAUUAUGUAUGAGAUUAGAUCCUCCGAUAAAAAUACUCACUGUGGAAGUAUUGUCCGAAGUGGAUACUCUGACAACCAUGGCCAGUAUCCCUUCAGAAGUAUCAGGAUGCUCACAAUGAAGAAGAUGAUUGCUCAGAGCAUCACCAGCCAGCAUCCUCAGCAGCUCCUGCAGCACCUCUGGGUGCCAGCGCAGCCCUGUGCAAUCCUUGCAGUAGCCUGUUUCUAUGGAUAUGCUGAUUUUUAGAGAGAAUAAAAGCAACAAGGUGCUCUGAAGAGAGAAGCAGUAAAUGCUGUGUAACAGGUUUCCAGGUGGCUGCAUCAAAACCAGGAUUCAAUAGCCUAUAUUGCCCUGGAAAGACACCAGACGUGGUGAUGUGAUGUCAAUCCCUCCAGCUCACCUUUCUCCUGGGGGUCUGUGCAGCUCCCUCUGGUCCCUCAGCUGCUGGAGGUUACCUUGGAGUCUACAAACUCUCAACACCACGACUCACUCUAUAAAUGUAAGUGCAGGGGGGGCUUUGCCAUUUUUUAGCCUCUCUUUUGAGCUAUAUUUCUAGGAGGAAGGAAAAUGUAAUGGCACAGGACCAGCCACAGACAACUGAUGAACCCCUGUGGUUUUAAAAUGAGCACUGACAGAAAAGAUGUCUACUGCCUGGUGCAACCAGCUUUUCAGAUGUGAACUGGGGGAACUGGGAAGAUCUGUGGUUCCUUUUUGGAGCUGACUGGGGAGAGGCAGAGGGGAAGAACCAGUGUGACUGCUCCAAUCUAGGACUGUUCUACCUGCUGGCCUUCAAUAGGUGAGCUGAAGGAAAAUACUGCAACAGUCAUCAAUUGUAUUGUUUUCUAAACAAUGUGAAUCUCUUUUUCUUAUUUUUUAAUCUUUGAGAAUAAAAUAGGCUCCAGAACU
rnacentral:lncRNA from 7 species